rnacentral:rRNA from 1 species
GUGAGACCCCCUCGCUGCCCUGGGUGUGCCUGAUCUUGUCUGAUCUCAGAAGCUAAGCAGAAUUGGGCCUGGUCAGCAAUUGGAUGGGGGACCACCAAGGAAUACCAGGUGGGCCUUGGC